AAUUUUUCUGGAAACCCACCAAGUGCUGGAAAAAAACCAAUCCAACAACCUGGUCAUUAGUACAUUACACUUGGUAAACAAUUCCGCCAACAUAUCCGUAAUUCACGACAUCAAUUACCGACCGAAAAAACAAAAAAAAUAACAUAAUGUAUAUGUCCAAGGAACAUUCUAAUAGAUAAGGUACAGUAUACCUAUACUAUACAGCCCAUUGUCGAAGGUCAUAACGCGACAAUUGUACACUCAUACGAGUAAUUAUAUAAAUAAACACUAUACUCUGACGAGUAAAUUACUCGACCAGUGCAUUACUGAAAAUAAUAUUGUGUAGUUUUAAGCCAAAAAAAAACCACGUACAUUUUAAUAGAAUUUCCCUUAUGAUGUAAUUUGAUUACUAGCUUUAGACCCGGUAGGUAAACUCUAAGUAAACGAAACGACGACAGAAGAGAGGAAUAAACGACGAUGUCGUUUUAAUUACAACUUGAACGAAUAAUCUACAUAGAUGUUAAGUUAAACGCGGCUUAAUGGAGAUGAGAAGAGAAAAAAAUCAUCGAAGAUGAUCUUAAUUCCAACUAGUAGAACCGGUUCACAGUUAAAAUGAGAUGAGCUAAUUAUGCUGACAACACGAUGGGAUACGAUAAUACCGAUGGCACUUGACAGCACAAUGUUUAAAAAAAGAUGCCAGAGAAAAUGGGCUUUUUACCUGUGUACGAAGCAGUCGAGCUUUCUUGUAAUUUAAAAGUAAACGGUAUAUGAACUUUCA